UAGUACUCAAUUCAGCAGCACACAUACUAAAAUUGGAAAAUUGGAAUGAUACAGACAACAUUAGCAUAACCCCUGAACAAGGAUGACAUGAGGAAGUUGAUAUUAUU